rnacentral:rRNA from 1 species
UGGGGAAUAUUGCACAAUGGGCGCAAGCCUGAUGCAGCCAUGCCGCGUGUGUGAAGAAGGCCUUGGUUGUAAAGCACUUUCAGCGGGGAGGAAGGCGUUAAGGUUAAUAACCUUGGCGAUUGACGUUACCCGCAGAAGAAGCACCGGCUAACUCCGUGCCAC